rnacentral:rRNA from 1 species
GACGGAGGAUGCAAGCGUUAUCCGGAAUGAUUGGGCGUAAAGCGUCUGCAGGUGGCAGUUCAAGUCUGCUGUCAAAGACCGGGGCUUUAACUUCGGAAAGGCAGUGGAAACUGAACAGCUAGAGUAUGGUAGGGGCAGAGGGAAUUCCUGGUGUAGCGGUGAAAUGCGUAGAGAUCAGGAAGAACAUCGGUGGCGAAGGCGCUCUGCUGGACCAUAACUGACACUCAGGGACGAAAAGCUAGGGGAGCGAAUGGG